GCAGUCGUGGCCGAGUGGUUAGGGCGAUGGACUUGAAACCCAUUGGGAUUUUCCGGCGCAGGUUUGAAUCCUGCCGGCUGCG
rnacentral:tRNA from 1 species